UAGGUGUUUAUUCGGAUAUUCCGUGCUAGGGCAAAACUCCAAUGGAGCGCAGCAAGCGAAGCGAGAAGGAGAAGAGCAGCAGUAGGUCGCGGCGAGAGCGCGAUAGGUCUAGGGAUGGCGACGCCGCCGAUCAUCGCGAGGAGAGCGGUAGAAGGGAGAAGAAAGAGCGAGAUCACGAUCGGAAUAAGGAGAAUUCGAAGGAUAAGGAGAAGGAGAGGGAUCGGGAGAGGGAUAGGGAUGAUCGGCGCAGGGACAGGGAUGCCGCCGAGGCGGGGGAGCACAAAUCCAGAAGGGAUAAGGAGAAAGAGAGGGAGAAGGGGGAGGAUUUCGACGGCGAUGAGCAGGAGAAAGAGGUAGCGGCGACGAAGGAGAUUGAGGAAUGGGUGAGGAAGUCGAGAAAGAUCGAAAAGAUUGAGAAGGUCAGGGCCAAGAAGGCAGUGCCGGCAAUUCGAUCGAUCGCUCAACAGGAUGAAGAGGUCGUGGAUGAAGAAGAUGACGAGGAGAGUGCGUAUAAAUCAAAGGAUCUAGCAGGAAUGAAGAUUCGACAUGGACUGGAGAAGAUAAUAGAAGGUGGUGAGGUAGUUCUUACUCUGAAAGACAGCAACAUCCUCGCUGAAGGAGAUAUAAACGAAGAUGCUGAUGAAUUGGAGAAUGUGAAUCUCACUGAGCAGACUGUGCGGAGCAAUGCAUAUCGUGAUGCCAAGAAAAAAAAGGGGACUUACGAAGACAAGUUUCAAAACGACAUCAAUACUGUGAAAUCGCUGUUACCUCAAUAUGACGAUGCUCCAAAGGACGAGGGAAUCCAACUUGACGAUUUGGGUGGAGUCAAUGAGGAGAGCCAGAAGCGUUUGGAGGAGGUCCGACUAAAGUUGCAAGGCGCAGCGCUGAAAAUGCAAUCGUUGCUGGGACCAGAAAACCAGGCAUCUGAUUUCUAUACCAAGGAAGAGAUGAUGAAGUUUAAGAAGCCGAGAAAACAAAAGAAAUUGAGGAAAAAAGACAUGCUGGACGUCGAUGCGCUUGAAGCCGAAGCAAAAGCUGCCGGUUUAGGUGCUGAUGAUCUCGGUUCAAGAGCAAAUAAUUCGAAGCCCAAACAAGAAGCUGAGGCGGAGGAAGAAGACGAGUUGUACAGUCGUUUGCAGAAGUCGCGUGAAUUGGCCAUUAGGCAGCGCAUACAGUCUACGCUCGGGCCUCAAGGAAUAGCUGCUCGUUUGAAACUGGAGGCUGCCGACGAAGAACAAUCAAUGGAUGUGGAUAGUAAGACUUCAGUGGCCGAGAAAACCGUCGUUAUCACGGAGACGGAGGAGUUCUGCUUGAGCCUACAACCUGAUGAAGUUAUCAGUCGAAGAGCUGCAACGAAUGAUGCCUUCGGAGAUGAUGAGGUGGAUGGACAAUCUGCGAUGGAAAUCCAUCAAGAAGAUGGGCGAACUGACACAAAGGUGAACGACGUCGUCGAAAAUGAAGACGAUGAUGUCUUCGACGAAUUGCCAAUCAAAGAAGUAUCCGUCGGGAAAGGAUUAGCGGGUGCCUUGAGUCUCCUCAAAGAAAGGGGGAGCCUGAAGGAAUCAGUGGAAUGGGGUGGCAGAAACAUGGACAAGAAGGCGAGCAAACUUGUCGGUGUUUUGGACGAUGACAAAACCUAUGAAAGGGAUAUCCAGUUAGAUCGGCGAGACGAGUAUGGCCGAACGUUGACUCCCAAAGAAGCCUUUCGCCUAGUCUCGCACAAAUUUCAUGGAAAAAAUCCUGGAAAGAGAAAGCAAGAAAAGAAGAUGAAGCAGCACGAGGAGGAGCUAAAGCAGAAGCAGAUGGCAGCCGGUGACACGCCUCUGAGGUCUAUGGAGAAAAUGCGUGAAGUACAAAUGAAGACGAGCACCCCCUACAUUGUUAUGAGCGGGCACAUAAAGCCGGGGCAAACGAGUGAUCCAAGGAGUGGUUUUGCAACCGUAGAGAAGGAACCGAUUGGCAGCCUUACACCAAUGCUUGGUGACAAAAAGGUGGAACAUUUCCUGGGAAUAAAACGCCCGGCCGGUGACAUGGGGCCUCCGCUUUCAAAGAAAAAGGCCAGGACGUAGAUCACAUCUGGUUAGUUUCGUACAGGCUCUUCAGAAAUGAAAGAAGUCUUGAAGGAUGGUAUGUCCUUGAGACAUUCUCCUUUACAUUCCAGAUGAGCUUGUAUCAUUUUGCUGAUCUUCUCUCCGUGAGGAGAGGGAGGCAUCCCCGCGCCACUCUCGGCCGUGUCAUUUGCUGGUUUAUCAUUUCCAUCAAGAUGUUGAGAGAUAAGCUCGUGUCGACUUUGUUGCAGGCCUCGGGAGGAGGCAGUGGUGGAUCCGAGACUUCGGCCGAGCCUUCGAGCAUCUUUACGACGUCAACCAUUGCAGGCCGCUGCCUGGGAUCCGGCUGAAUGCACCACACUCCGAUGCGAAGCAGCUUCUCGACUUGGACCUUUCUUGAGGUUGUUAACGAUCCAUGUGGCCAGGAACCUUGGGCUUGUCCCGCAAGACACACAGCUCCGAGUACGUGAAAUCACGCAGGCCGUCCUCAGCAGAUCCAGAUGGAAACGACUGCCCGUAGUGCUUGAGAGAGUACCACCACAAUCACUGGCUUGGCCCUUUUAUGCGUAGACAAGUAUUGAGGAAAGCUGCGCGAGAACGGAAGUUUAGCAUGAUGCACCUUAAGAGACAGUGACAACGCUGGACUGGCUGGGUUGUGCGUUCUGUUUAGAGCAAAGACUUCGCUCAUCUGGAAACAGGGCCCUGCACUUUACUGGAGUAACGUUGUGGAUGGUGUAUAAGUACCCAAAAGAUAUGCUGGCUCGCAUGGAGCUGUUCUCCUCCUCGAGCUCUAGACAGUCGCAUUGAUCUUCCCUGGGAAGCCAAGCAGGUCCACACGACGGAGGCAAGGUUUUUGCCGUGAACAGGGCGUUCAGACUGGUGGUGUUGCUGGUGUUACUGCUGUAUGACUGGGAGGUAAAUCGGAGCCCUCCAUCCGGAUACAGCUUGAGCAACUGGUAGCCGGAAAGGAUCGUAACCUUUGCGAAUCUGCAGGUUGCUGUUGGAGAGGACGACAGUAGAUAUAUCUUUACUGUCAGAGCUCCAAAGCUCUCCAUAUGCCGGGAGCGUGGAGUACAAAACUACCGAGGAGAGUUUUACCUCAAGAGAGAAGUAUCCUGGUUCCUUGUUCUCGUUCGUCUUUGUUGCCACUAACUUCAUCCCUGGUUUUAGGAUCUGGCCAGGGAGCAACGCGUCGGUGGGAUGAUCAAAGCUCUGCCACAGCAAAGAACCACUGUCCGUCUGGAUGACGAGAUUUCCAGAGCUCUCGAGGGUCAUCAUCUGCGCUCCAGCGUUUGCUGUCCCCGUCGACCACACAAAGCUGCCAUCAAAGUCGCGCAGCACCAAGUCGCCAUCGAUCGUGAAGUUGAGAUAGGCACCGAGACGAACAGGCCUUGGAGUAGCUCUCCACACCACUGUCGCGCCUUGGGACUGGCUAUCAGGAGACGAGAACGCAAGGUGUGCUAAACCCGAGCGUCAUGGGCUUCGCGAGAAAGCCGAUCGGACCCUUGAUAACUAUGUUGGAGAGGUAGCCGAUCCUCCAGAUCGUGUUGGGCAUCGCAUAGACAUCGUGUGGAGUGGCACGAAGUAAAGAGAACGAGAGGAGCAAGACGAUGAAGAUGAAGAGAAAAGGCUGCAUUAGGUGCUUGAAGACAACGAGCAAGCCUGGGAAAGAGGUGAUUGCAAGGGAUGGGUUGUAAGGUAGCGUGAAAUCGAUCGGCUCUAGCGCAUCGUGGUCUCAGGAGGACAAGAAUGGUUUCGUUCUUCUCGAGGCUGUAACGUUGUCCCCGAGAGUCUGACCGCGAGAGUAUAAGCCCUAAAGGGCGCCAAAAGCAUUUUUAAA